rnacentral:piRNA from 1 species
UACUAUUGGUGCUUGGUCUUCUGGAA